UACAGAGGUCCCGAGCGUUGUUCGGAUUCAUUGGGCGUAAAGGGUGCGUAGACGGUCUUCUAAGUUUGAUGUGAAAUCCCGGGGCUCAACCCUGGAAUUGCAUUGAAUACUGGAGGACUAGAGUACCGGAGAGGAAACUGGAAUUUACGGUGUAGCAGUGAAAUGCGUAGAGAUCGUAAGGAAGACCAGUGGCGAAGGCGAGUUUCUGGACGGUAACUGACGCUGAGGCACGAAGGCCAGGGGAGCAAACGGG
rnacentral:rRNA from 1 species